AGAAGAAGAAGGGGAUCCAAGGGAUUAUUGAGAUUGAAAAUCCGAAUUUGGUAAAGCCGAAGACCAUGAAAGCUCGAGACGUUGAUAUGGGAACGACAACUGAACUCUCAAGGCGUGAAAGAGAAGAAUUGGAGAAACAGAGAGCCCGCGAGAGAUAUAUGAGGCUGCUAGAACAGGGAAAAACUGAACAAGCAAGGAAAGAUUUAGGUAUUUUGUCGUGAUU